GUAAACGAUGUCGACUUGGAGGUUGUGCCCUUGAGGCGUGGCUUCCGGAGCUAACGCGUUAAGUCGACCGCCUGGGGAGUACGGCCGCAAGGUUAAAACUCAAAUGAAUUGACGGGGGCCCGCACAAGCGGUGGAGCAUGUGGUUUAAUUCGAUGCAACGCGAAGAACCUUACCUGGUCUUGACAUCCACGGAAGUUUUCAGAGAUGAGAAUGUGCCUUCGGGAACCGUGAGACAGGUGCUGCAUGGCUGUCGUCAGCUCGUGUUGUGAAAUGUUGGGUUAAGUCCCGCAACGAGCGCAACCCUUAUCCUUUGUUGCCAGCGGUCCGGCCGGGAACUCAAAGGAGACUGCCAGUGAUAAACUGGAGGAAGGUGGGGAUGACGUCAAGUCAUCAUGGCCCUUACGACCAGGGCUACACACGUGCUACAAUGGCGCAUACAAAGAGAAGCGACCUCGCGAGAGCAAGCGGACCUCAUAAAGUGCGUCGUAGUCCGGAUUGGAGUCUGCAACUCGACUCCAUGAAGUCGGAAUCGCUAGUAAUCGUGGAUCAGAAUGCCACGGUGAAUACGUUCCCGGGCCUUGUACACACCGCCCGUCACACCAUGGGAGUGGGUUGCAAAAGAAGUAGGUAGCUUAACCUUCGGGAGGGCGCUUACCACUUUGUGAUUCAUGACUGGGGUGAAGUCGUAACAAGGUAACCGUAGGGGAACCUGCGGUUGGAUCACCUCCUUACCUUAAAGAAGC
rnacentral:rRNA from 1 species